rnacentral:piRNA from 1 species
UUAUGAUAGAUCCUCAAAUUA